rnacentral:misc_RNA from 1 species
GCUGUCAAAAUCCCCAAAAAAAUCUAAAAAUUAUCCUUCUGCAACGCAUAUAUCACUUGUAGAGCAAAAACAAGGAGAUAAAAUUGUAUUAGUCGGUUAAAAUUAGAAUUAAAUGAGCUUCUUUUUCUCAAAAAAGGUCUUCAGGUGAAAUACUUGCAAGCCUGCCACUGAGAGACAAAUAAGAAGUGAGAGAAAACUGAACCAGCCCAUUCUUGAGUUAGUAGCUCUGUUCAACUCUUGCAUUUCUUCUUCCCUUUCACGGAGAAAAUACAUCUCCUCCUGAAUGGAUAUUACAGUAUCAUGCAGCUUCUUCAACUCUAAUUCCAUUACGUCGAUAGAGCCUUUCUUGGCAACAUUAGUCCAAUCCUUAGCAGCUACACCAGUCCUCCAAUCAAAAUCCACAGUCAACGUAACUUCAGGCAUAUGAUCCGCCGCCCAGAAACACGCCAUGUAAUCCCCUUCCUCCGCCGCCGUAAACGCAAACUGCCCCAAUUCCACAUGAUCCGCGUAGUGAUAACUAUUCCCAUAACUGGAUGUCACCUUGACGGUGAGCUUGUGCGACUCCGGCAAGGGCUGGCCAUCGUGUGGAUUAACGAUGCUAUACUUGCCAACGGUCAUGGAAUUACUUUUGAUAUCCUCUGAAAUGCACUUAGUGUGCCCAGAUUGCAGAUCGAAGCGAACACAUUGUGAUGUAGACGAUAAAAUCCCGAGGAUUGUUAUUAUUGCAAGAACAGAAACCUGUAAUCUAGCCAUUAUCGCAGUCCUUUUAGCAGAUGGGUUUUGGGUUUUGAUGAGAACUUAAAAGUGAAUCGCAGAGUG